UGCCCAGGAUGUCACACAGGUGUGUCCGGGCUGUCACACAGGUGUGUGCUGUGUCCGGGGAUGUCACACAGGUGUGUGCUGUGCCCGGGCUGUCACACAGGUGUGCCCAAGAUGUCACACAGGUGUGUGCUGUGUCCAGGAUGUCACACAGGUGUGCCCGGGCUGUCACACAGGUGUGUGCUGUGCCUAGGAUGUCACACAGGUGUGCCCGGGCUGUCACACAGGUGUGUGCUGUGUCCAGGACGGCCAGGAGCCUGCCCAGCUCAGGGAUGGAAAGAGCCUCUGAUGGCAGAAACUCAGGGGAGGAGGGUGCAAGAAUAAAGAAAGGGAACUCCAAAGAGGACUAAAAAGUAGCAACAUUUGCAAUAUUGCAACAAUUGCCUCACUCUUUGCCAGCCAUUUCAAGCGCACGGCUUCUGAAGGGAGCAGUUCAGUACUUGUCACCAGGCUUCCCAGAAUAACCUGCCAGUGACCAUCAGGGGCUGCAGACAUCUCAGAAGAAUGUUGGCCAUUAAACCUGACAUUUAUGAUUGAAAGAAUCAAACCGUCAAACCAAACCCAGUCCCAAGUGGUGCUUCUGAUUGUUCUAUAGAGAGUUUGACGAUGCAAGAAACAACAGACAGGGUUUUAUUAAAUUUCUUUAACUCAA